rnacentral:tRNA from 1 species
GGGUAUAUAGUUCAGUGGUAGAAUGCAUGCCUAGCCUGCAUGAAAUCCCGGGUUCAAUCCCUGGUACCUCCA